UGGGGAAUAUUGCACAAUGGGCGCAAGCCUGAUGCAGCCAUGCCGCGUGUAUGAAGAAGGCCUUCGGGUUGUAAAGUACUUUCAGUCGGGAGGAAGGUGGUAAGGUUAAUAACCUUAUCAAUUGACGUUACCGACAGAAGAAGCACCGGCUAACUCCGUGCCAGCAGCCGCGGUAAUACGGAGGGUGCAAGCGUUAAUCGGAAUUACUGGGCGUAAAGCGCACGCAGGCGGUUGAUUGAGUCAGAUGUGAAAUCCCCGGGCUUAACCCGGGAAUUGCAUCUGAUACUGGUCAGCUAGAGUCUUGUGGAGGGGGGUAGAAUUCCCUGUGUAGCGAUGAAAUGCGUAGAGCUGUGGAGGAAUACCGGUGGCGAAGGCGGCCCCCUGGACAAAGCCUGACGCUCAGGUGCGAAAGCGUGGGGAGCAAACAGG
rnacentral:rRNA from 1 species